rnacentral:tRNA from 1 species
GCCUGGGUGGCUCAGUUGGUUAAGUGUCCAGCUUCAGCUUGGGACAUGAUCUCAUGGUUUGUGGGUUUGAGUCCCAUGUCAGGCU